GGAGGGUUUGCCUGACACUGACUUCGUAUCCCCUCCCUUCCUGUCCCUGAGACGAUGCCCAGUGUCUGUACUCCCCCCCCCCACACACACCCCGGGCUCCCCACCUGCUCCCAGAGGUUCUGGGACUAAACCAUUCUGUUCCCUCGCCCCCCCCCCCCCAAGCCCUUCUGGUUCAGCACCACGUUUCCCACCGGCUUCCCGCCCUCUGGUGUGCAAGGGGGCGGGGGGUGGGGGUCUUGAGUGAGUUUCACGUGGGGUCCCAGGUUCCUGGGCCCGGGGUGGCGGCUGGGGGUGCUCCCUGCUGAUAGAUGGCAGGGCUGGGAGCAGGCGUGAUGGGGUGGGAGGAGGGAAGAGGGAAAGCCAGUGAUGAUGGAGAACACUCAGGGGCUCUUUGCUUCAUAAAUACCUUUUUCUUUUUUUUCAGUGAAAACGUGUGCACAUUAGAAAAAUGGGUGAGGGUGGGUGGGGGGGUGGGCUUCCCGGGAGUAAAAUAAAGGUGGCUCCUCAGCCUGGGCUGCGGGCCUGGCGGGGGGGGGGGCUCCCGUGUCACCU